rnacentral:rRNA from 1 species
UUGGAGGGCAAGUAUGUUGCCAGCAGGCGCGGUAGUUCCAGCUACAAUAGCGUAUAUUAAAGUUGUUGCAGUCAGUUAGCUCGUAGGUGAAUUUCGGGAUUGACGUGACGGUCGUGCCUUACGGGGUAUGAACUGUCGCAGUUGAUUUCUCACCUUCUGGAGAAGCUUGAUGUCCUUAAUUGGGUGUCUUGCGGAAUCAGGACCUUUACCUUGAAAAAAUUAGAGUGUUUAAAGCAGGCAUUUUUGCUCGAAUACAUUAGCAUGGAAUAAUAGAAUAGGACGGCAUGGUUCUAUUUUGUUGGUUUCUAGGAUCACCGUAAUGAUUAAUAGGGAUAGUUGGGGGCAUUAGUAUUCAAUUGUCAGAGGUGAAAUUCUUGGAUUUAUUGAAGACUAACUUCUGCGAAAGCAUUUGCCAAGGAUGUUUUCAUUAAUCAAGAACGAAAGUUAGGGGAUCGAAGACGAUCAGAUACCGUCGUAGUCUUAACCAUAAACUAUGCCGACUAGGAAUCGGACGAAGUUAAUUUUUUAAUGACUCGUUCGGCGCCUUACGGGAAAC